AUGUGCUUCCUACCUGUGAAGAAGGACUGGGGGUUGAAAAAGCCUGCUACCCAGAUGAGGAGGCGAGGGAGGGAGCCCUGCGGCCCACGCCGCUCUCUCACCCAGGCAGGGAAGGAGCAGUGUACCCAGACCACAAAAGCAAACAAGAAAAAAAGACUGAGGACACACAACCAGGGGGAUUCCUGCAGCCAUCGGAGCAGGAUCAAGAUUAGAGCAUUCUUUUCCCCAAAGGUUCUCUGGCUUGCUCCGCAUCUGGAAAGUGAGGACUGUUGUCUAUGGGAAGAUUUCCAGUGGCUGAAAGCUUAUGGCUGAUGAUGUAACUCAGCACCAAGUUCACACCAAACCCAGCAUUCCUAAUUCUAACAAGGUGCUCUUGAUCCAAACUUAGGGCAUUUGAAGCUCUAAGUUCUUUCUCCCCUUCCUUUGUCAGCAAAAAUAAGAGUACGUCAGUAAACUGAAAACUGCCCAGAGAGGACAGCUUUCAGACUUGCUUAGUCAAAGAGCAGAGCUCUGUGUGUUGUGUUUGUACUGUCAGCCCACAAAAAAAACAGAAGAUUUAGGAAGAAAGGAAGGCUAUUUACUAGAACAAAACACACGAUAGUUCACAUUACAUAUUUUCUUGAUGGACACAAAGUGACAUCCAUACUGAUUGACUGUCGGCAUGUGCCUCUCCACGGAGCCAGGUUCUGUGUGAUGGAUAAGCCAGUCUCUGGCAAGUGUCAGGAAGAUUAUCAAAAGAAAGAGCUGUCUGUAGUUGUUCCCUUUCUGAGGAGAUUGACAACUCACCCUAACAAAAGGAAACAUUAGUGUGCUAUUUGCGUCUCCCAAAGAGACUGUGAUAAGAUGACGUGAUAAAUGGUGGGGUGAGGGUGGGAGGGAGGUUGCCAUAAAAACACAUAAGGUAGCUAAAUCGUGAAGUGCAAAGAAAACCUCCGCUCCCACAAUUGAUGAGGCUUGUUUAUUUUAAAAAGGUGAGCUCUUCUGAACAACAAAAUUGUCUGCAGCAUAAGCACUGGUUGGAGAAUAGCAGAAGUUCUCCAACCAGUGUUGCUAACGGCUUCAAGGGAAAUCUUGAAUAUUCCAUGUCCUACCCUUUCCUCUAGUUGCUUUAAUACGACCAGCGAGAGCAUGCGAAAGAAGACACGCCAUAAUGUGGAGCAAACCUUAGGUACAUCUUUCUCCUCCAUGAACUCCAGAGUGGGCUCUGGAUCUGGCAUAGCCCCAAGAACAGGGGUUUGUAUAUGAAAUUCACAGAGGGCGUUUAUUAUGAUUCAGAAACAAACAGGGUGAACUUGAGUGUAUCCAAAUAGGAAAUUGUCCCCCAGAGAGGCUUUACCCACAACUGCAGCAACUGUCACCCCUCAUUAAUUGCAGGGACGGCACCAAUUUCAAGUGUGUUCAGGUCAUCUUGGCAGGCUUGCUUCGCAAGCUAAUACAUGUGGAAGUCGACGUGCUGUGAACAGGUUGGACUUGGAGAUGAAAAGUACUCUGAUGGAUUGCUCAAAUCCACUGGCGUCUUCAAGAAUGUUAAAAGAAAAACUUCGGGGCCGGGCGCGGUGGCUCAAGCCUGUAAUCCCAGCACUUUGGGAGGCCGAGACGGGCGGAUCACGAGGUCAGGAGAUCGAGACCUUCCUGACUAACACGGUGAAACCCCGUCUCUAAUAAAAUAUACAAAAAACUAGCCGGGCGAGGUGGCGGGCGCCUGUAGUCCCAGCUACUCGGGAGGCUGAGGCAGGAGAAUGGCAGGAACCCGGGAGGCGGAGCUUGCAGUGAGCCGAGAUCGCGCCACUGCACUCCAGCCUGGGGGACAGAGCAAGACUCUGUCUCAAAAAAAAAAAAAAAAAAAAAAAAGAAAAACUUCGGCCGAAUUGCGCUAAAAGGAGUUUAAUUGAGCAACGAACGAUUUGUGAAUCAGGCAGCCCCCAGAAUCACAGGAGAUUCAGAGAGACUCCAGGGAUGCUUCGUGGUCAGAAAAAAUUUAUAGGCAAACAACGGGAGGUGACUUACAGAAAUAGGAGGUGAGGUAAAGAGACAGCGGGACUGGUUACGGGUUGGCGUUUGCCUUAUUUGAACACAGUGAACACUCAGCGGUGUGUGACUGGGUAUGUCUGCUGGGAUUGGCUAAGACUUAGCGAUUGUUUCAGGCGUAGACUGCUAAAUUAGGUUUUCAAUCUCAACUAACUAUUAAGUCAGGUUGCAGUUCAUCCACAAGGGCUCAAAUGUAGAAGUACGGAGUCCUUCUCAGGCCACAUUUAGUUUGCUUUAACAGGCAGCACCUACUCUUUUCCUGCCUGAUCCUGCAUUUUCACUUCUUAACCAGCCCCCACAGUGCUAUCGGGAGGUCUCUGGCUCAUGGCAAACCAGACCCUGCCUAGCAGGCAGGGACGGCUCCUUUGGCCUGAGUUGUACUGAAAAGCCAGGCACUGGCAGGGAUGGAAAAGAAAGACUCUUCUGAGCUUUGUGCGCUGUCAGCCAUAAGAGCGUUGACUAGGUGGCGGGUGUCCACACGUUGGUGUCGGUAGAAAACAUGGUCAAUAUAAAAAACCAGUAAUAACACCGGGAAGACUUUCUAAUUUCUCAGUGUUUCUUCCUACUCUGUGGAUACUGGCCUCUACUAUUACACGCUUUUCAUGACCUACUUUUCUAUAUUUUUUCAAUGUCAUUCUUUCUCCUGAGACAAAGCAGUUUGAAUCUUGGGGUGGUUAUCCUUUAAUCCCUGCGUGGUUUGCAUUUGUUUUUUUCUUUUUCUUUCUUUCUUUUUUUUUUUUUUGAGACGGAGUUUCACUCUUGUUGCCCUGACUGGAGUGCAAUGGAGUAAUCUCGUCUCACGGCAACCUCCGCCUACCGGAUACAAGCGAUUCUCCUGCCUCAGCCUCCUGAGUAGCUGGGAUUAUAAGCAUACACCACCAUGUCUGGCUAAUUUUGUACUUUUAGUUGAGAUGGGAUUCGCCAUGUUGGCCAGGCUGGUCUUGAACUCCUGACCUCAGGAGAUCCUCCCACUUCAACCUCUGAAAGUGCUGGGAUUACAGGCAUGAGCCACCGCGCCUGGCCUGUUUGCAUUUCAUUUGUGUUCCCUUAAGGAUGACUGGAUGGGAGGCUGAGGUGACUCUUCCACUAACUCCCAAUUGGUGAUGGGAGGGCUACAAGAAACAGGAAGACAAAUUCCACAGCGUGUCUUCGCUGAUCAGUGGGAAUGACAUGAUCAGGUUAUGCCAGUUACCAACUUGGUGCUUUCCAAGACAUUGGGAAGCCUUCACCUGGCUUAUGGAGGAGGCCAGAUAUAGGAGUGUGCCCCUCCACAUUUAGGUGACCUCCAGGAGAGAAACUGGCUCCUUCUCCCUGGGGCCAAUAGUUAUCUUCCGAAGGCUUCUUGGAUCCAUGGAUUCCCUAGAGAACCUACCUCACGCUGUUUCUGAUCUUCUUUCAAUUCAUGCCUAUAGACAACCACAAUUUUUGGAUAAAAUCCAACUCUUUUUUUUACCCUAGGCAGUGUCCGGAUUCCAUUACAGGUUACGGGGCCCUCUAACCCCUAGGAGUAUUGAGGUAAACCAAAAAAUGUUUAAGAAAGCCUAGCUCUAAAGUGGCCUGUAUUUAUUAUUUAUUAUUUUCAGACUUGGUAAACAGAAAGUAAGAUCUAAAGUGAUUUAGAAGCAAGUAGUUGAGGGGAAUGGCAAAGUGAGGAGCCAGUCAAAGAAGAAAACUUUUGCAAGGAGUGGGGAGAACAUGAAAGGCAGGCAAUCAAGCUAGAUAGAGGAAUCAGGGACACUGGAAGGAAAAGAGGUAGAAUGUGUGUGUGUGUGUGUGUGUGUGUGUGUGUGUGUGUGUGUGUUGGGGCGAGGGUGGGGGUGGGGAGGGUGAGAACAAACAAUAAGAAGGUCAAGGACAGAAAUCAGAUUACUUGAGCAAAAAUCCAAAACAACAGCAUCAAAACAAACAAAACCCACAGAACAGAGUCCUUCCCAAAUUUUCCAAGGUUAGUAGCAUCCACCAGGUGAUCUGACAGUGACACCAG
ensembl:lncRNA